rnacentral:rRNA from 1 species
UUACAUGCAGUCGAGCGACAGACGAGGAGCUUGCUCCUCUGACGUUAGCGGCGGACGGGUGAGUAACACGUGGAUAACCUACCUAUAAGACUGGGAUAACUUCGGGAAACCGGAGCUAAUACCGGAUAAUAUAUUGAACCGCAUGGUUCAAUAGUGAAAGACGGUUUUGCUGUCACUUAUAGAUGGAUCCGCGCCGCAUUAGCUAGUUGGUAAGGUAACGGCUUACCAAGGCAACGAUGCGUAGCCGACCUGAGAGGGUGAUCGGCCACACUGGAACUGAGACACGGUCCAGACUCCUACGGGAGGCAGCAGUAGGGAAUCUUCCGCAAUGGGCGAAAGCCUGACGGAGCAACGCCGCGUGAGUGAUGAAGGUCUUCGGAUCGUAAAACUCUGUUAUUAGGGAAGAACAAAUGUGUAAGUAACUAUGCACGUCUUGACGGUACCUAAUCAGAAAGCCACGGCUAACUACGUGCCAGCAGCCGCGGUAAUACGUAGGUGGCAAGCGUUAUCCGGAAUUAUUGGGCGUAAAGCGCGCGUAGGCGGUUUUUUAAGUCUGAUGUGAAAGCCCACGGCUCAACCGUGGAGGGUCAUUGGAAACUGGAAAACUUGAGUGCAGAAGAGGAAAGUGGAAUUCCCUUGUGUA